AACCGCCAAAUACAAAGGCGAACAGAAACAAAGACGAGACCAAGAAGAAAAAGUAGUAGCCUUUAUCGAGACUAUUAUAUUUUAUAUUUAUAUUGUUUAUAUUCGUAUUUAAACCUCAAUCACUUAGUUAUGGAUCAUGAUUAUGCUUUGCCUGCACGUUCUGUGAAGCGCAAACGCACGGGUGAAAUAAAUGACCCGUGAUGGUUUUGGGACAAGAGAAGCAACAAGACACUGGGAAAUAUUGGAGUUGCAUUUCCAAGAUAGAGAGAGCUUCGUGACAAGCUGAAACUACAGAGAGAUGUCGAACUCGCUUGCAUUCUGAUAAACAGCCUCUGCUGCAGACGGAUGCCCACCACCCACUGAUGAUGUCUGAUAGCUGCAGGCAGCUACACCAUGUUUGCUAAAGACACCACAUUUAGGCCCUUAUCACAACAAAUCUCCCUUUACCGAUGAAAUACCAGACUUUACUGUCUAGUAUAAAACCAAAAGGACCAAGAAGACAGUGCAAGAUCAAGACUCGACUUGUUCCAGUGAAACAACAGCUCAAAAAUGGAAAACACAAUUUUUGAAGCUGAAAACAUGACUAGAGGCACAGCACAUUACACCAUGAGGAAUUUACAAGCUUGGAGAUCUUUUCAUUAUGCAUGUUUAUUGCCACCUCUGUAGUGCAUCUCAUUUGAAAUGGGCUUGUAAUAUUUCUCACUGUCUGCAGAAUCGACAUCAACAUGUUGUCUUCAAUCAUAUAUCUUCUCUCAGUUUUGGGCUGGUGGAGUCUUAAUAAGACAAAUUAAAUAGUCUGCUGCUAGUGCUGGAGAUGUCUUUUGCUGAAGAUCAUCUGGACUUUAAGGCAGAUACAAAAGAACAAUCAAUAAAUUAAGCCCCAACUGAAUUGUUAAAUAUGUAGAAAACUGGUCUCUAAAUGAUAAACCUGGAUAUAAUCCAGUAUGCUUAUAGUCCUUAUCUACAAUAGUAACUUGAAUAAUACAGAAUCUUCUAAAUUCAUGUUUGGAGCAUGACUGUGUACACUCACCUAAAGGAUUAUUAGAAACCCCAUACUAAUACUGUGUUUGACCACCUUUCACCUUCAGAACUGCCUUAAUUCUACGUGGCAUUGAUUCAACAACGUGCUGAAAGCAUUCUUUAGAAAUGGUGCAUUAUCCUGCUGGAAGUAGCCAUCAGAGGAUGGCUACAUGGUGGUCAUAAAGGGAUGGACAUGGUCAGAAACAAUGCUCAGGUAGGCCGUGGCAUUUAAAAGAUGCCCAAUUGGUACUAAGGGGCCUAAAGUGUGCCAAGAAAACAUCCCCCACAUCAUUACACCAGCAGCCUGCACAGUGGUAACAAGGCAUGAUGGAUCCAUGUUCUGAUUCUGUUUACUCCGAAUUCUGACUCUACCAUCUGACCGUCUCAACAGAAAUCGAGACUCAUCAGACCAGGCAACAUUUUUCCAGUCUUCAACUGUCCAAUUUUGGUGAGCUCGUGUAAAUUGUAGCCUCUUUUAUAUAUUUGUAGUGGAGAUGAGUGGUACCCAGUGGGGUCUUCUGCUGUUGUUGCCCAUCCGCCUCAAGGUUGUAUGUGUGGUGGCUUCACAAAUGCUUUGCUGCAGACCUCGGUUGUAACAAGUGGAUAUUUCAGUCAAAGUUGCUCUUCUAUCAGCUUGAAUCAGUCGGCCCAUUCCCCUCUGACCUCUAGCAUCAACAAAGCAUUUUCGCCCACAGGACUGCCACAUACUGGAUGUUUUUCCCUUUUCACACCAUUCUUUGUAAACCCUAUAAAUGUUUGUGCAUGAAAAUCCCAGUAACUGAGCAGAUUGUGAAAUACUCAGACCGGCCCGUCUGGCACCAACAACCAUGCCACGCUCAAAAUUGCUUAAAUCACUUUUCUUUCCCAUUCUGACAUUCAGUUUGGAGUUCAGGAGAUUAUCUUGACCAGAAUCACACCCCUAAAUACAUUGAAGCAACUGCCAUGUGAUUGGUUGAUUAGAUAAUUGCAUUAAUGAGAAAUUGAACAGGUGUUCCUAAUAAUCCUUUAGGUGAGUGUAUAAUGUUUGUUGUAAAACCAAACAGAGAAAAUCUCUUCAAGUACAGGCUAAUGAACAUUAUAUAUGUUUGUGAAACUUUUUUUUUUUUUUUUUAUGAAUCUACAGUAAAUACGCUAAAAGUCAUUUUGUUCUGCUGAUUUCUGUUGGAACUUUAUUCUGAAUAAAACCACAGUGCAUCAAAACAUUGUAUUUGAAUUUGAUGGCAGUUUCCUAAAGCACAUUUAUGUUUGCGCCGUAGCUUAUUCUUAUUGAAUG